rnacentral:rRNA from 1 species
CUGUCUGGUCUGUACUGACGCUGAGCUCGAAAGUAUGGGUAGCAAACAGGAUUAGAUACCCUGGUAGUCCAUACCGUAAACGAUGAAUGCUAAGUGUUGGAGGGUUCCGCCUUUCAGUGCUGCAGCUAACGCAUUAAGCAUUCCGCUGGGGAGUACGGCCGCAAGGCUGAAACUCAAAGGAAUUGACGGGGGCCCGCACAAGCGGUGGAGCAUGUGGUUUAAUUCGAAGCUACGCGAAGAACCUUACCAGGUCUUGACAUACUAUGCAAAUCUAAGAGAUUAGACGUUCCCUUCGGGGACAUGGAUACAGGUGGUGCAUGGUUGUCGUCAGCUCGUGUCGUGAGAUGUUGGGUUAAGUCCGCAACGAGCGCAACCCUUAUUAUCAGUUGCCAGCAUUAAGUUGGGCACUCUGGUGAGACUGCCGGUGACAAACCGGAGGAAGGUGGGGAUGACGUCAAAUCAUCAUGCCCCUUAUGACCUGGGCUACACACGUGCUACAAUGGAUGGUACAACGAGUUGCGAACUCGCGAGAGUAAGCUAAUCUCUUAAAGCCAUUCUCAGUUCGGAUUGUAGGCUGCAACUCGCCUACAUGAAGUCGGAAUCGCUAGUAAUCGCGGAUCAGCAUGCCGCGGUGAAUACGUUCCCGGGCCUUGUACACACCGCCCGUCACACCAUGAGAGUUUGUAACACCCAAAGUCGGUGGGGUAACCUUUAGGAACCAGCCGCCUAAGGUGGGACAGAUGAUUAGGGUGAAGUCGUAACAAGGUAACCA